CCGUUAAAGUAGCUAGGAGUAAUUAACCUAGUUAGUAACAUGUGACUAAAUAAAUAAUGAAUUAUAGUUUCAUUUGAUCAAAAUAAAAACAUGAGGGACUAAAAAGGGGCAAUUGUGAAAGUUGUAUGAUUAAAACAAAAAUAAACCACACCAAACACACACUUAGUGUGUGUCCGGUCGAUGUUAAACACAGGGGGCGACCAGGUUUCUCCAUCAAACCCCAAAUCUCCCAAAAUUCACAAAUUGAAGCCUCUAAUCUGCUCCAAACCAAGUUUCAAGCAUGAAUUAGUGAUCAUCUCGUUGUGGGGAUCAAAAGUUUGACGCGUAACAAGCUAGGUGGAAGCUUGAUGAGGGAGCGGGUCAAACGAAUCAAGAAGGAAAGGAAAAAACAUAGUUCGGACACGAGGUAAGUAUAUCUUACACUAGUCAUAUAUUUCAUAAUAUCCUUUUGUCGUAUUACGAAAAAGAUAAUUUAUGACGUAAGCCAUAGUAGGCUAAAAAGUGUUAAGAAAUGGAAUUAUAAGUAAGUGACCGCACAGUGUAAAUCGGAGCGAGUCAUAUAUAUAUUUACGAGGUGGUAAUAAAUAUCAUCUCGCUAAUAUAAUCGGUCAAUUCGGCCAAACGGGUCAAAAGGUGAAAUUAUCACCCUUUGACAAUAUCGACUAAUGGGUUGUCAAGAUGCAUGAUUUUAGGAAAUAAAUAGCACAUGGAUGCUUACAUCGCUAUCGCUUAGCAGCCACUAAGGAAAUGUAUUGAAACGGGUCAAUAUAUUGAUCCGAGCCAGGUGAAGAUGGGAUAAGCGGUUUGAAAGAUACGAAAGUUUUCGUGCAAAUAAACGGCAAAAUAGGAAGGCUGGAAUGCAGGGGUCACCGUAAAUUACGGUGCCACCGUAAGUUACGGUGGAGCUGAAGGCUUUACGGCAGCCCCCUACUGAUUUACGGUAGGGGCAUGUCUCACCAGGGGCCACCGUAACUUACGGUGCCACCGUAAGUUACGGUGGAGGCCAGUUGGAAAUCCAUGUUUUGAGAUCAAAAGUUUAACGUUGGGAUUCUUUUUCCUUCCAUUAUUAUUACCGGAUUUGUUUAGACUUAUUACAAUUCCCGUAUGACUAAAGCAUUUCAUGUUGAUGAAAUGUAGGUUCUUUUUGGAUGCCGGAAGACUAUCAAGCUCAUCGAAUGACCGAACACGAUAAAGAUACAUGCUUCCGCACAUUUCCUCGUCGUAAAUUUUUAAACGACAAAUUCGAUCACUUAUGUUGAAUAACUUAUGAUUUGUAAAAGUUUUAACAAACUCGUAUUUUCAUAGUAUGUGUAAACUUAAUUACACAUCUAAUUGUUGGUAUUUAUAUAUAAAAAAAAACCGUUAAA